GAUCAAGUGAAAGAAGGGCAUUUGGUGGAUGCCUUGGCAUGCACAGGCGAUGAAGGACGUGAUACGCUGCGAAAAGCCGUGGGGAGCUGCGAAUGAGCUUUGAUCCAUGGAUCUCCGAAUGGGGCAACCCACCUUAGAUGCUUGGAAAAUCAUUUUGGUUGGCAUCUGGUCCCGAAGCCGUAAGGCUUCGCAAGGCCAGAGGCCGUCGCCGGUUAUCCGGCGUCAAGAAACCAAAGUGGUUUCCAAGCAUUGUUGAAAGGUAUCUUAUUCUGAAUACAUAGGGAUAAGAAGCGAACGCAGGGAACUGAAACAUCUAAGUACCUGCAGGAAAGGACAUCAACCGAGACUCCGCAAGUAGUGGCGAGCGAACGCGGACCAGGCCAGUGGCAAUGAGGAAUAAAGUGGAACGAUCUGGAAAGUUCGGCCGUAGCGGGUGAUAGCCCCGUACACGUAGAACACUCAUUGUCCUUGAGUAAGGCGGGACACGUGAAAUCCUGUCUGAACAUGGGGAGACCACUCUCCAAGCCUAAGUACUCGUGCAUGACCGAUAGCGAACAAGUACCGUGAGGGAAAGGUGAAAAGCACCCCGACAAGGGGAGUGAAAUAGAACCUGAAACCGGAUGCCUACAAACAGUCGGAGCCCGCAAGGGUGACGGCGUACCUUUUGUAUAAUGGGUCAACGACUUAGUGUGGCAUGCAAGCUUAAGCCGGUAGGUGGAGGCGUAGCGAAAGCGAGUCUGAACAGGGCGCUUUAGUAUGUCGCAUUAGACCCGAAACCGAGUGAUCUAGCCAUGAGCAGGUUGAAGGUUGGGUAACACCAACUGGAGGACCGAACCCGCAUCUGUUGCAAUAGAUUGGGAUGACUUGUGGCUAGGGGUGAAAGGCCAAUCAAACUCGGAAAUAGCUGGUUCUCCGCGAAAACUAUUUAGGUAGUGCGUCGACCGAAUACCCUCGGGGGUAGAGCACUGGAUGGGCUAUGGGGACUCACCGUCUUACUGAUCCUAACCAAACUCCGAAUACCGAGGGAGUACUAGUCGGCAGUCAGACUGCGGGUGAUAAGAUCCGUAGUCAAAAGGGAAACAGCCCAGACCGCCAGCUAAGGUCCCAAAGUGUGUAUUAAGUGGAAAAGGAUGUGGAGUUGCUUAGACAACUAGGAUGUUGGCUUAGAAGCAGCCACCAUUUAAAGAGUGCGUAAUAGCUCACUAGUCGAGUGACUCUGCGCCGAAAAUGUAACGGGGCUGAAGCCAUGCACCGAAGCUGAGGAUACGUCGUAAGACGUGUGGUAGCGGAGCGUUCCGUAAGCCAGUGAAGGGAUACCCGUGAGGGGUCCUGGAGGUAUCGGAAGUGCGAAUGUUGACAUGAGUAACGAUAAAGAGGGUGAGAGACCCUCUCGCCGAAAGACCAAGGGUUCCUGCUUAAAGUUAAUCUGAGCAGGGUUAGCCGGCCCCUAAGACGAGGCGGACACGCGUAGUCGAUGGGAACCACGUUAAUAUUCGUGGGCCUGGUGGUAGUGACGGAUUGCUCAACUUGUCCGGACUUAUUGGAUUGUCCGGGCGGGGACGCGGUUCCAGGAAAUAGCUCCACCGUAUAGACCGUACCCGAAACCGACACAGGUGGUCAGGGUAGAGUAUACCAAGGCGCUUGAGAGAACUCUGGUUAAGGAACUCGGCAAAUUGCACGCGUAACUUCGGAAGAAGCGUGACCCUUUUCUACGCAAGUAGGAUGGGGUGGCACAGACCAGGGGGUAGCGACUGUUUAUCAAAAACACAGGGCUCUGCGAAGUCGCAAGACGACGUAUAGGGUCUGACGCCUGCCCGGUGCUGGAAGGUUAAGGAGAGGGGUUAGCGUAAGCGAAGCUCUGAACUGAAGCCCCAGUAAACGGCGGCCGUAACUAUAACGGUCCUAAGGUAGCGAAAUUCCUUGUCGGGUAAGUUCCGACCUGCACGAAUGGCGUAACGACUUCCCCGCUGUCUCCAACAUAGACUCAGUGAAAUUGAAUUCCCCGUGAAGAUGCGGGGUUCCUGCGGUCAGACGGAAAGACCCCGUGCACCUUUACUAUAGCUUUACACUGGCAUUCGUGUCGGCAUGUGUAGGAUAGGUGGUAGGCUUUGAAGCGGGGACGCCAGUUCUCGUGGAGCCAUCCUUGAAAUACCACCCUUAUCGUCAUGGAUGUCUAACCGCGGUCCGUCAUCCGGAUCCGGGACAGUGUAUGGUGGGUAGUUUGACUGGGGCGGUCGCCUCCGAAAGAGUAACGGAGGCGCGCGAUGGUGGGCUCAGAGCGGUCGGAAAUCGCUCGUCGAGUGCAAUGGCAUAAGCCCGCCUGACUGCGAGACUGACAAGUCGAGCAGAGACGAAAGUCGGGCUUAGUGAUCCGGUGGUUCCGCAUGGAAGGGCCAUCGCUCAACGGAUAAAAGCUACCCCGGGGAUAACAGGCUUAUCUCCCCCAAGAGUCCAUAUCGACGGGGUUGUUUGGCACCUCGAUGUCGGCUCAUCGCAUCCUGGGGCUGGAGCAGGUCCCAAGGGGUUGGGCUGUUCGCCCAUUAAAGCGGUACGCGAGCUGGGUUCAGAACGUCGUGAGACAGUUCGGUCCCUAUCCGUCGUGGGCGUAGGAAAUUUGAGAGGAGCUGUCCUUAGUACGAGAGGACCGGGAUGGACGCACCGCUGGUGUACCAGUUGUCCUGCCAAGGGCAUAGCAGGGUAGCUAUAUAUGGAAGGGAUAACCGCUGAAGGCAUCUAAGCGGGAAACCCACCUGAAAACGAGUAUUCCCUUGAGAACCGUGGAAGACGACCACGUUGAUAGGCCGGGUGUGGAAGUGCGGCAACGCAUGAAGCUUACCGGUACUAAUCGUUCGAUUGGCUUGAUCGU
rnacentral:rRNA from 1 species